rnacentral:rRNA from 1 species
AUUGAACGCUGGCGGCAGGCUUAACACAUGCAAGUCGAGCGGGGUGAUGGUGCUUGCACUAUCACUUAGCGGCGGACGGGUGAGUAAUGCUUAGGAAUCUGCCUAUUAGUGGGGGACAACAUCUCGAAAGGGAUGCUAAUACCGCAUACGUCCUACGGGAGAAAGCAGGGGAUCACUUGUGACCUUGCGCUAAUAGAUGAGCCUAAGUCGGAUUAGCUAGUUGGUGGGGUAAAGGCCUACCAAGGCGACGAUCUGUAGCGGGUCUGAGAGGAUGAGCCGCCACACUGGGCGUGAGACACGGACCAGACUCCUACGGGAGGCAGCAGUGGGGAAUAUUGGACAAUGGGGGGAACCCUGAUCCAGCCAUGCCGCGUGUGUGAAGAAGGCCUUAUGGUUGUAAAGCACUUUAAGCGAGGAGGAGGCUCUUUUGGUUAAUACCCAAGAUGAGUGGACGUUACUCGCAGAAUAAGCACCGGCUAACUCUGUGCCAGCAGCCGCGGUAA